UGGGGAAUAUUGCACAAUGGGGGAAACCCUGAUGCAGCGACGCCGCGUGAGCGAAGAAGGUUUUCGAAUCGUAAAGCUCUGUCCUAUGAGAAGAUAAUGACGGUAUCAUAGGAGGAAGCCCCGGCUAAAUACGUGCCAGCAGCCGCGGUAAUACGUAUGGGGCGAGCGUUGUCCGGAAUUAUUGGGCGUAAAGGGUACGUAGGCGGUCUAUUAAGUCAGGUGUGAAAGCGUGAGGCUUAACCUCAUUAAGCACUUGAAACUGAUAGACUUGAGUGAAGGAGAGGAAAGUGGAAUUCCUAGUGUAGUGGUGAAAUGCGUAGAUAUUAGGAGGAAUACCGGUGGCGAAGGCGACUUUCUGGACUUUUACUGACGCUCAGGUACGAAAGCGUGGGGAGCAAACAGG
rnacentral:rRNA from 1 species